rnacentral:rRNA from 1 species
UACGUAGGGUGCAAGCGUUUGUCCGGAAUUAUUGGGCGUAAAGAGCUCGUAGGCGGUUUGUCGCGUCUGCUGUGAAAACCCGAGGCUCAACCUCGGGCCUGCAGUGGGUACGGGCAGACUGGAGUGCGGUAGGGGGAGAAUGGAAUUCCUGGUGUAGCGGUGAAAUGCGCAGAUAUCAGGAGGAACACCAAUGGCGAAGGCAGCACUCUGGGACGGUACUGACGCUGAGACGCGAAAGCGUGGGGAGCAAACAGG